AUACGUAGGGGGCGAGCGUUGUCCGGAAUGAUUGGGCGUAAAGGGCGCGUAGGCGGCCCGGUAAGUCUGGAGUGAAAGUCCUGUUUUUAAGAUGGGGAUUGCUUUGGAUACUGUCGGGCUUGAGUGCAGGAGAGGUAAGUGGAAUUCCCAGUGUAGCGGUGAAAUGCGUAGAGAUUGGGAGGAACACCAGUGGCGAAGGCGACUUACUGGACUGUAACUGACGCUGAGGCGCGAAAGUGUGGGGAGCAAACAGGAUUAGAUACCCUGGUAGUCCACACUGUAAACGAUGAAUGCUAGGUGUAGGGGGUAUCGACCCCUUCUGUGCCGCAGUCAACACAAUAAGCAUUCCGCCUGGGGAGUACGGCCGCAAGGUUGAAACUCAAAGGAAUUGACGGG
rnacentral:rRNA from 1 species